AUUUUGUCAGUAAAUUAUGUUGUUAAUCUAUUUUAUUACAAAUGAAUUUUACUUUUAAUAAAAUGAGUAAUAAAUUUUUCAUGGAAUGUGAUAAUAAAUUUUUAUAUAUUAAGAGGAGGAGGAGGGACGACGAAUGUACAGAUGUACUUUUGAUAGAGACAUGUCAUUAGAAGAGAAAGAGAAGAAGAAAGAUGAGUUAGAAGUGACAACAUCGAAUGUGACGACAAUAACGAAAGAGAGAGGGAAAGGAAGAAGAUAUGAGAAAGAACAAGAUAAAGAAGAAAAAAAAAAGAAAAAAUGAAGAAAAAGUGGAAGAUCCCGUCAUGACAUUUACCAACAAAUUUUAGUGAUGAUAAAAAAACAUUAGAGUCAUUUGCCAAUAAAGAAAACAAGAAGUUGCAAAGCAUAAAACUAUGAAUGAAAUGUUUAAAGAUAAAGAGUUGGUGAUUCUAGACAUUUGCAAAUGCAUAUAUGGUAGUACUUCAUUCAUUUUGGUACUUGUUUGUCCACAUGCUGAAAUUUGUUAAUGAAUAUGGAAAAGAUUUAAAGCCUCUACUUAUCAAGAAGAUAGAGUAUCUUAUUUGAAAAAGAUGUUAAUAAUAUUCUAGUUUGGAGAAAUAUAAGGUUGAGUAGGAGAAAUUAGAAGAUACUUUGUUGCGGUUAUGGAGUCGAACUAUCACCUAACACCUUCACAAUUUUAUGUGUGAUGGUUAGAUGAAAAAAAGAAAGUUUCUUACCAACUUCUUUUUAUGAAUAGUCCAAAUUGAAUAAUUUCUUAAAAUAUAUUCAUACUAGUAAUGUGAUCAAGGAUGUCAACGGUGUUGUUAGCUCAGCAGGCUUUUACCAAAAGGAAAAGAGAAAAAAGAAUGAUGUGAACUGCAUGUUAUUGCAUCCUAAAAUAGCUUCGCUAUUUUCAUAGACAUGUUAUGUUACUGAACAUAAUUCAUCAAGAAAUAAAAUAAGUAUCAAAUGUAUAUUUUGGGAUAUGUGGAAGAAAAUGAAAAAUUGACAAUCAUCUAAAUAAAUUCAGAAAUGAACCAAGGUUCACACAAUAUAUCAAUUGUUGGACUCCAGAUAACCACAUCAGAUAUUUGUAUACUAACAUAUAUCAUGCUAUCUGUGUCUAUUGUUACUGGUAUACAUAACAUUGAAAAAAAUUGCAAAUAGAUCCUCUCAAGAAUAUAGUAAUAUAAAAGUACAACAACCAACAGCAAGAAACCAGACAUUGUGCUUGCAUAUGUUCUACAUAAGGCGGAAUAUGAAAACAAGUCCAACAAAUUGUUAAAAUAUAAACAAAACAAAUAUUUUUCAGUUAUAGCUUAGAUCAGUAUAAAAACUUUUGUAUUCAGUCAUUUUGAGGUUGAAUAAAAUAGUUGAGAGUAUCAUUCAGUACCUUAGCGUGUAUUUUCCAUUCUUUGACAAUUGUCUUCAUCAUCUCUGGUGUGAGUUUCUGUCGGUGAUCGGUGGAGAAGGGUGGAACCCUAGCAGAGUCCUUGGUUUCGCGUCUCUCUCUCUAAGUCUCUCGAACAUUUCCAUUCUCAGAGCAUUCUCUCUCUAUCACGUGUUUUUGUUCCUAUCUUUUAACAUCAGAAAGUAAUAUUGGAAGAGUUUUUACGUUUCUAUCCUUGGGCCCUUUUCAAAUACAAAUUACAGUUCCUAUGCAGAU
rnacentral:lncRNA from 1 species